rnacentral:rRNA from 1 species
UACGGAGGGGGCGAGCGUUGUCCGAAUUUACUGGGCGUAAAGCGCGUGUAGGCGGGUUGCCAAGUCCGCUGUGAAAGCCCGAGGCUCAACCUCGGAGGGUCGGUGGAUACUGGCAAUCUUGAAGGUGCUAGGGGGAGAUGGAAUUACCGGUGUAGCGGUGAAAUGCGUAGAGAUCGGUAGGAACACCAGUGGCGAACGCGGUCUCCUGGGGCAUUCUUGACGCUGAGACGCGAAAGCUGGGGGAGCGAACGGG